CAACGCCGGGUAGCUACAUUCCUAAGGGAUAACCGCUGAAAGCAUCUAAGUGGGAAGCCCACCCUAAGAUUAGGACUCGUUAUAGAUCCCCCGCAGAAGACGGGGUUGUCCGGCAGGCGGUGGAAGGGCAGUAAUGUCUUAAGCCUACCUGAUACGGAUAGAUCGAUUCAGACUUUUUGGU
rfam:Candidatus Woesebacteria bacterium RIFCSPHIGHO2_01_FTLL_38_9b rifcsphigho2_01_scaffold_23205, whole genome shotgun sequence.